rnacentral:rRNA from 1 species
UACGUAGGGGGCGAGCGUUGUCCGGAUUUAUUGGGCGUAAAGAGCGUGUAGGCGGUUCGGUAAGUCUGUCGUGAAAUCCUGAGGCUCAACCUCGGGCGUGCGAUGGAUACUGCCGGGCUAGAGGGUGGUAGAGGCGAGUGGAAUUCCCGGUGUAGCGGUGAAAUGCGCAGGUAUCGGGAGGAACACCAGUAGCGAAGGCGGCUCGCUGGGCCACACCUGACGCUGAGACGCGAAAGCUAGGGGAGCGAACAGG